AGUGAACGCUGGCGGUAGGCCUAACACAUGCAAGUCGAACGGCAGCACAGUAAGAGCUUGCUCUUACGGGUGGCGAGUGGCGGACGGGUGAGGAAUACAUCGGAAGCUACUUUUUCGUGGGGGAUAACGUAGGGAAACUUACGCUAAUACCGCAUACGACCUACGGGUGAAAGCAGGGGAUCUUCGGACCUUGCGCGAUUGAAUGAGCCGAUGUCGGAUUAGCUAGUUGGCGGGGUAAAGGCCCACCAAGGCGACGAUCCGUAGCUGGUCUGAGAGGAUGAUCAGCCACACUGGAACUGAGACACGGUCCAGACUCCUACGGGAAGCAGCAGUGGGGAAUAUUGGACAAUGGGCGCAAGCCUGAUCCAGCCAUACCGCGUGGGUGAAGAAGGCCUUCGGGUUGUAAAGCCCUUUUGUUGGGCAAGAAAAGCAGCAGGUUAAUACCCCGCUGUUCUGACGGUACCCAAAGAAUAAGCACCGGCUAACUUCGUG
rnacentral:rRNA from 1 species